GGUGAACGCUGGCGGCGUGCUUAAGACAUGCAAGUCGAACGGGCUCUUCGGAGCCAGUGGCGCACGGGUGAGUAACGCGUAACUGACCUACCCCAAAGUCGCGGAUAACGAUUCGAAAGAAUCGCUAAUACGUGAUGUGCUGUCAGAUCCUGUUCUGCCAGUAAAGAUUUAUUGCUUUGGGAUGGGGUUGCGUUCCAUCAGCUAGUUGGUGGGGUAAAGGCCCACUAAGGCGACGACGGAUCGCCGGCCUGAGAGGGUGGCCGGCCACAGGGGCACUGAGACACGGGUCCCACUCCUACGGGAGGCAGCAGUUAGGAAUCUUCCACAAUGGGCGAAAGCCUGAUGGAGCGACGCCGCGUGAGGGAUGAAGGUCUUCGGAUCGUAAACCUCUGAAUCAGGGACGAAAGACGCGAAAGCGGGAUAACGGUACCUGAGUAAUAGCACCGGCUAACUCCGUG
rnacentral:rRNA from 1 species